rnacentral:rRNA from 1 species
AACUAACGCUGGCGGCAUGCCUAACACAUGCAAGUCGAACGAGACCUUCGGGUCUAGUGGCGCACGGGUGCGUAACGCGUGGGAACCUGCCCUUAGGUUCGGAAUAACUCCCCGAGAGGGGUGCUAAUACCGGAUAAUGUCUUCGGACCAAAGAUUUAUCGCCUUUGGAUGGGCCCGCGUUGGAUUAGCUAGUUGGUAGGGUAAAAGCCUACCAAGGCGACGAUCCAUAGCUGGUCUGAGAGGAUGAUCAGCCACACUGGGACUGAGACACGGCCCAGACUCCUACGGGAGGCAGCAGUGGGGAAUAUUGGACAAUGGGCGAAAGCCUGAUCCAGCAAUGCCGCGUGAGUGAUGAAGGCCUUAGGGUUGUAAAGCUCUUUUACCCGGGAUGAUAAUGACAGUACCGGGAGAAUAAGCUCCGGCUAACUCCGUG